rnacentral:lncRNA from 1 species
AUCACCGCAUCGUCUUACAGUUGACGCCAAUGACCAACAUCGUUCCCAGAUUACUGCAGUUAUUAUGGAUAACUUCAUGGGUUUGGUAAACCCAAAUGACGAGGUUUAUACUAGAGUAUCUCAGGUUGCACACAGAGCCCAUGGAGGAAAGGGGGGUAUUUAGACUUUUUUUUUGUAUAUUAUGUAUUAUUUGUAUAUUACUCAGACAUCUUUAUCAGAAACUUUUUU